UACGUAGGGUGCAAGCGUUAAUCGGAAUUACUGGGCGUAAAGCGUGCGCAGGCGGUUGUGCAAGACAGAUGUGAAAUCCCCGGGCUCAACCUGGGAACUGCAUUUGUGACUGCACAGCUUGAGUGCGGCAGAGGGGGAUGGAAUUCCGCGUGUAGCAGUGAAAUGCGUAGAUAUGCGGAGGAACACCGAUGGCGAAGGCAAUCCCCUGGGCCUGCACUGACGCUCAUGCACGAAAGCGUGGGGAGCAACAGG
rnacentral:rRNA from 1 species